CCUACGGGAGGCAGCAGUGAGGAAUAUUGGACAAUGGGCGCAAGCCUGAUCCAGCCAUGCCGCGUGCAGGAAGACGCAUCUAUGGUGUGUAAACUGCUUUUGUACGGGAAGAAACACUCCCUCGUGAGGGAGCUUGACGGUACCGUAAGAAUAAGGAUCGGCUAACUCCGUGCCAGCAGCCGCGGUAAUACGGAGGAUCCAAGCGUUAUCCGGAAUCAUUGGGUUUAAAGGGUCCGUAGGCGGUUUAAUAAGUCAGUGGUGAAAGCCCAUCGCUCAACGAUGGAACGGCCAUUGAUACUGUUAGACUUGAAUUACUAGGAAGUAACUAGAAUAUGUAGUGUAGCGGUGAAAUGCUUAGAUAUUACAUGGAAUACCAAUUGCGAAGGCAGGUUACUACUAGUGGAUUGACGCUGAUGGACGAAAGCGUGGGGAGCGAACAGGAUUAGAUACCCUGGUAGUCCACGCCGUAAACGAUGGAUACUAGCUGUUGGGCGCAAGUUCAGUGGCUAAGCGAAAGUGAUAAGUAUCCCACCUGGGGAGUACGUUCGCAAGAAUGAAACUUAAAGAGAAGUUAGACGNGNGAGAGNGACGACGACGACGACGAGGAGGAGG
rnacentral:rRNA from 1 species